rnacentral:rRNA from 1 species
ACGAACGCUGGCGGCGUGCCUAAUACAUGCAAGUCGAACGGUCUUUUCUAUGGAAGCUUGCUUCCACUGAGAAGAUAGUGGCGAACGGGUGAGUAACACGUGGGCAACCUGCCCAUAAGAGGGGGAUAACAUCCGGAAACGGGUGCUAAUACCGCAUAGUUUUCUUGAUCGCAUGAUUGAGAAAGGAAAGACGGCCUUUGUGCUGUCGCUUAUGGAUGGACCCGCGGCGUAUUAGUUAGUUGGUGAGGUAACGGCUCACCAAGACGAUGAUACGUAGCCGACCUGAGAGGGUGAUCGGCCACAUUGGGACUGAGACACGGCCCAAACUCCUACGGGAGGCAGCAGUAGGGAAUCUUCCGCAAUGGACGAAAGUCUGACGGAGCAACGCCGCGUGAGUGAAGAAAGGUUUUCGGAUCGUAAAACUCUGUUGUCAGAGAAGAACAAGUUGGAGAGUAACUGCUCCAGCCUUGACGGUAUCUGACCAGAAAGCCACGGCUAACUACGUGCCAGCCGCAGC